rnacentral:sRNA from 1 species
AAGCAUCCCAGAGUCCAGUCAGCAGACAGCAGAAGAGACUGUCAGCAGACCACCUUGGAGGGGAUGCUUGGAGCUGCCUAACGUGUGAUUCAAAGAUGAAUUCCAUGUGUUUGGAGAAGAAGCCCUAGCCUCAACACAAAGGUUGGCCACAUUCCAGCCAAGGUAGCACGGAGUGAAGGCCCGUGGAGGGAGAGCUGGGCUUUUCUGAACUACUUCAGUACACCUUGCUGUGCCUUGGCCUGCCGUGUUUCAUCCCCAUGGCUGUCCUCAGUGAUGUGCAUGGUCACUGCUCCCUUCACCACUGAGAAGACGGGCACAGGACAGUCAGGGGAUGUGUCCAAGGUCCCACAGCAGGAAGGGCUGGAGCCAGAAUGUGGUCUGAGAGGCUGGAUAUACAAAGAGACAAUGGCAUGACCAUCUGUACAAAUGGAACUAUGGCCCACAACCUGCAGCAGCCAGCCCAGGAAGCCAACCCGUCACCUGCAGCAGCCAGGAUGGAUGCUGGCCUGCCCUCACUGAUACUCAAGUCUAGUUUUAUAUGGCUCCAAACGCCUCCACCAUGAGCUCAAGGCAGUGAGACUGACUGAAAAACCCUCUCUAUUACAGACCACAACAUUGAACCCAACAUCCCCCUAAGUAGGUUGUACUCACAUCAUUGGUCUUAUGGGGAAAUUUUAAGACCUCCCACUUGUAAGGUUUUAUAGCCCUCUAUGGAAUAUUGAAGAAAGAGUAAAAUGCAUCCAAAAAAAAAAAAAAACACUAAACUGGAUAAAUUCUAAGGCCUCUUCAGGUCUUAAGAUGGCCAUUUUCUAGGUCCUCUUGCUGCAGCAGUGAAAUCCACAAACACGGACAAGUCAGUCAGUUACGUGCCUUUCAGAGAAAACUUCUGACUUAGGAAUUCCAGCUAUUUGGCCCAACCCAUAUUAGAUUGUGUUAUAAAGACAUGGUAAAUUACAUCACGAAGGGAAGAGCAGAGGAAACAUAAUAUUCCUUCAAGACCCAUCAGCUCAGAUGUUAGCAGAACACCCCUAAGGAGGAAAACAAGAAAUUUUGGGUUUGAACUUGGUACUUCCCAGCAGCCCUGGGAGUGGGGUCAGAAGCCCUGCUGGGGGCCAAAGAACUCUGAGGAUCAAAGAUGUUGAGCAUCACCUUAGAGGCCAAAGAUCAGAACAGUGGAGGUGGCCUUUGAAGCCCAACCUGUCUUUCACCAGAGAGUGAGAACGGCCUCUAUUUCCAGGAAGCUCACUGCAGCAAUAAUCAUGAUGCUCUGAGCCUGACAAGGUGAGAAUUUACUUUCAGCACCUGCAAUAGUUUCCUAUUAAAGUUACAUAUGAAACCCUGCCGUCUUGUACCAACUAAUGUUCACACCAGCGUUCCUAUUUUCAAGAUAAAUUGCAAAAUAAAAACUCUUGUUUUCGUUAGCAAAAGAAAACUUCUUUAGGAGGAUAAAAGGGAGAUGAAGAAACAGAAAACACAUCAGCUCUCCAUCCAGAUUACAGAAAGCAGAAAACAUCCUGAAGUGAAUAACAUAGGAAUCGCUCUUUUUCCCCCCUGAGAUAGCAGGUUACUUAUGAGAAACAAGCUUGAAAUCUCUGCACCUGGACCAGCUUCCAGAGGCUUUUGUCCUGACCAGGUGAGAGGGGAAAAAAAAAAAAAAAAAAAAAAAAAA